GUGACUCACAAGGCAGAAGAAUCACUGAAUCCUAUCUGUUUAAUGAAUAAGAUUCAGAGAAAAAGAGGAUGAAUGUUCUGGGAGUCUUUUAAUGAUAUUACAAAGAAGCCUUGUCUAUUCUGGAAAAAGGAUUGAGAAACAAUCAAUAAGACAUCCUAUUGCAAAUGUAUAGUCCCUCUCAUUCAUGGAUGAAUACAAAUGAAUCCUAGGUUGAAAUUGAUACAAGAUGGAGCUCCAGAACAUACUGCAGCAGAGACUUCUCAAGAUCUUCAGAAACAUGGAAUCACUUCUAUAGAUUGACCAUCAUAUUCUCCUGAUCUGAACUCAAUUGAAGCUGUAUGGAACCUUAUGAAGUAGUGAAUACAGAAGAAUCAUGGAAAUGAGAAAAAUCUUUCUUAUAAUACACUACAAGAGGUGGUUAGAAAUUCCUGAGACUCUAUAACAAGAGAGCAGCUACAAGAGCUUAUUGCAGAGAUGCCUGCUCACUGUCAGACAGUUAUAGAGACAGGGGGUGGCUAUACAAGAUAUUAAUAUGAUAUUCAUUCCAUCUAAAGAUUCUCUAUGAUGAUGAAAAACACACUGAACACAAGAAUGCCACAUAAACCCCCAGAAUGAUCAUUAGCAGAGCACUAAAAUAUUAGAAUGGCUCUAACGAAAAUACC
rnacentral:sRNA from 2 species